rnacentral:rRNA from 1 species
GACGAACGCUGGCGGCGUGCUUAACACAUGCAAGUCGAACGGAAAGGCCCUGCUUUUGUGGGGUGCUCGAGUGGCGAACGGGUGAGUAACACGUGAGUAACCUGCCCCUGACUUUGGGAUAACUUCAGGAAACUGGGGCUAAUACCGGAUAGGAGCUCCUGCUGCAUGGUGUGGGUUGGAAAGUUUCGGCGGUUGGGGAUGGACUCGCGGCUUAUCAGCUUGUUGGUGAGGUAGUGGCUUACCAAGGCUUUGACGGGUAGCCGGCCUGAGAGGGUGACCGGCCACAUUGGGACUGAGAUACGGCCCAGAAUCCUACGGGAGGCAGCAGUGGGGAAUAUUGCACAGUGGGCGGAAGCCUGAUGCAGCGACGCCGCGUGCGGGAUGACGGCCUUCGGGUUGUAAACCGCUUUCGCCUGUGACGAAGCGUGAGUGACGGUAAUGGGUAAAGAAGCACCGGCUAACUACGUG